UACGUAGGGCGCAAGCGUUGUCCGGAAUUAUUGGGCGUAAAGAGCUCGUAGGUGGCUUGUCACGUCGGGUGUGAAAGCUUGGGGCUUAACUCCAGGUCUGCAUUCGAUACGGGCUGGCUAGAGGUAGGUAGGGGAGAACGGAAUUCCUGGUGUAGCGGUGAAAUGCGCAGAUAUCAGGAGGAACACCGGUGGCGAAGGCGGUUCUCUGGGCCUUACCUGACGCUGAGGAACGAAAGCGUGGGGAGCGAACAGG
rnacentral:rRNA from 1 species